AUUCCAGCUCCAAUAGCGUAUAUUAAAGUUGUUGUGGUUAAAAAGCUCGUAGUUGGAUUUCGGCGGGUAGUGGUUGGUUUGAAUUGAUUCAACACUGACUUUUUUACCCGUGUGUUUUGCCAGAAUCUUACGGGUGAUCUUUACCGAUUGUCCGUUGGAACUGGCAGGUUUACUUUGAAAAAAUUAGAGUGCUCAAAGCAAGCUUACUGCUUGAAUAGUUGCGCAUGGAAUAAUAGAAUAGGAAGUCGUUUCUAUUUUGUUGGUUUUCGGAAAUCGACUUAAUGAUUAAUAGGGAUAGUCGGGGGCAUUCGUAUUCAAACGACAGAGGUGAAAUUCUUGGACCGUUUGAAGACGAACUAAGGCGAAAGCAUUUGCCAAGAAUGUUUUCAUUA
rnacentral:rRNA from 1 species